UGACCUCGGAUCAGGUAGGAUACCCGCUGAACUUAAGCAUAUCAUAAGGCGGGAGGA
rnacentral:rRNA from 1 species